rnacentral:rRNA from 1 species
CAAAGUCCGCACAGAGGGUCUCGCGAAUCAGUUUAAGGGGUUAAAGACCCCGUAGCCAUUGACGCGUACGGGUGUGGGACCAUCGCCCGGAGAUGGAUUUGGAGACACGAAUCCAGACCCACGGGGUGCAGCAGGCGCGAAAACUUCACACUGCAGGAAACUGUGAUGAGGGAACUCCAAGUGCAUGCACAAUGUGUAUGCUUUUCCUAACUUUUAAUCGGUUAGGGAAUAAGGGCUGGGAAAGACCGGUGCCAGCCGCCGCGGUAAUACCGGCAGCUCAAGUGGUCGUCGCUUUUAUUGGGCCUAAAACGUCCGUAGCCUGUUUGGUAAAUCUGUGGGUAAAUCAACCAGCUUAACUGGUUGAAUUCUGCAGAGACUGCCAGACUAGGGACCGGGAGAGGUGUGGGGUACUCUCGGGGUAGGGGUAAAAUCCUGUCAUCCUGGGAGGACCACCAGUUGCGAAGGCGCCACACUGGAACGGAUCCGACGGUCAGGGGCGAAGCCUAGGGGCACGAACCGGAUUAGAUACCCGGGUAGUCCUAGGAGUAAACGCUGUGAACUUGGUGUCGGGGAUCCUACUUGGGUUCCCGGUGCCGGAGUGAAGAUGUUAAGUUCACUGCCUGGGGAGUACGGUCGCAAGGCUGGAACUCAAAGGAAUUGACGG